rnacentral:rRNA from 1 species
GAAUUCGCCCUUAGAGUUUCAUUCUGGCUCAGGACGAACGCUGGCGGCGUGCUUAACACAUGCAAGUCGAGCGGGGAUUUGGGGCUUCGGCCCUGAAUUCUAGCGGCGGACGGGUGAGUAACGCGUGAGCAAUCUGUCCCAGACAGGGGGAUAACACUUGGAAACAGGUGCUAAUACCGCAUAAGACCACGGGAUCACAUGAUUCUGGGGUAAAAGAUUUAUCGGUCUGGGGUGAGCUCGCGUCCGAUUAGAUAGUUGGUGAGGUAACGGCCCACCAAGUCUGCGAUGGGUAGCCGAUCUGAGAGGAUGACCGGCCACAUUGGAACUGAGAAACGGUCCAGACUCCUACGGGAGGCAGCAGUGGGGAAUAUUGGGCAAUGGGCGCAAGCCUGACCCAGCAACGCCGCGUGAGGGAAGAAGGUUUUCGGAUCGUAAACCUCUGUUGUCGGGGACGAGUAGAAGACGGUACCCGACGAGGAAGCUCCGGCUAACUACGUGCCAGCAGCCGCGGUAAUACGUAGGUUGCAAGCGUUGUCCGGAUUUACUGGGUGUAAAGGGCGUGUAGGCGGAGCUGCAAGUCAGAUGUGAAAUCCCGGGGCUCAACCCCGGAACUGCAUUUGAAACUGUAGCCCUUGAGUAUCGGAGAGGCAAGCGGAAUUCCUAGUGUAGCGGUGAAAUGCGUAGAUAUUAGGAGGAACACCAGUGGCGAAGGCGGCUUGCUGGACGACAACUGACGCUGAGGCUCGAAAGCGUGGGGAGCAAACAGGAUUAGAUACCCUGGUAGUCCACGCUGUAAACGAU